GGCAUGGUGGCUCAGUGGUAAUAGAGCGCCCGUCUCAUGAACCGUAGGUCGUGGGUUCGAUCCCCGGCUGAGUCA
rnacentral:tRNA from 1 species